UACGUAGGGUGCAAGCGUUAAUCGGAAUUACUGGGCGUAAAGCGUGCGCAGGCGCUUCGCAAGUCAGACGUGAAAUCCCCGGGCUUAACCUGGGAAUGGCGUUUGAAACUACGGAGCUGGAGUGUGGCAGAGGGAGGUAGAAUUCCACGUGUAGCGGUGAAAUGCGUAGAUAUGUGGAGGAAUACCGAUGGCGAAGGCAGCCUCCUGGGCCGAACACUGACGCUCAUGCACGAAAGCGUGGGGAGCAAACAGG
rnacentral:rRNA from 1 species